GCCGCGAGGGCUGAGGUGUUCACACCUGCCCACGGCAGCCUGCCUCGCCCUCAAGCGCCUCAAAGCUUCCUAAGCGCUUACAUUGGUCUUGGGACAGCCGACUUUGGCUUCUUUGUUUGUUUGAGGGACCGCGGAAGUGGCGGGGAAUGUGCCCCCGCUUGAGACCGCUUAUUGUGAGCCCUCAACGGAAAUCCUGCACGGAAGGCAACCGCCUCCCCGCUCGCGAAGGCUUCAUUUGCUCUGAGUUAUCAUUGAGAACUAAAUGGAGAAGAAAAGAACUGAAGGCCUGAAGAUAUGUCAUCUGUAGAAAAGCCCCAUCCUUCUGCAGGUGGCCUCUUCUCAAGCUUUCUUGGCAAAUCAAGAGCUUCUGCCUUUUGGAGGACAUCCUCUUGACCUCCCACCCAUAUCAGCUCUUAGAGGACAUUCCACAGGAACAUUGCCUUCUUGUCCUCCAGUAUUUUUUAUGGAAACAGAAAUUAGGUUAUCUUCCUUAUGCUCUAGAUGGACAUCUGAAAUCAUCAAACCCUUGAGAGAAACAGCCCUCAUUCUUUUAUGAGACAACCUGGAAGAAAACAGGACUCUGAAGAUUUGUCUCCAUAUUCUCUGGAAAGAUGUACUCUGUUUGCAAUAAGAGGGAGCCACAUGGUUUAUUAGAUGGUUAUUAAUUGAGCAUUCUGUGCAAAGAAGUUUGUGCCUUAGUUAUAUUGAAAAGAAGAAAAUCUCUCCAGUUUCAGAAACACUGGCCUUUUGGAUACUGAGGAGUUGGAAAUGGAAAGGGGAUUUUAAUGAGUUUCUCGGCAAUGAGGCUAGAGAAAAUAUUAUCCAUCUCCCCCUGUUCUCCAAUUCAGCAGCUCGGACUCCUGUUUUCAUCACAGUCCUGUUAGAUAAUUACAGCCCCAAAGGCCUCCUGUUCCUUCUUUCUGUGUUCCCUGAAUCUUCUUUCCCAGAGCCAGGACCUCUUGGAAAUUCUCAGCCUCUGUUAGUUGCCCGCUCUGGGAGCCCGACUCCUCACAUCCGUCAUCUCUUUCUUCUCCCCCUUCACCUGCUGUAGUGUCCCCACUGUCUCUCUUUACCUCAGCUCCUUACCAUUCCUUUCCCUCUACACCCUUUUCCUUUGGUUCAUAGUCAGGAUGUGCUAGUUGCAUUCAAGCCCUUUUUGAUACUAAGAAUUCAGGGGGACAAAUCCAAACCCUGGAGACUACUGUCUUCCCCUUAGUGAUGCUAAUGAAUAUAAUUCCUGAUCUGAAAUUACCUGCACUUUAUUUGGCUCCAUCUACUUUUCUGCCACUUACUCCCUGUAUAACCAUAGGCUACGUACCCUACCUCUCUCUGGGUUUGUUUACUCCUCAGUUAAAAGGAGGAUUAAAAUGGCAAUCACAACACCUUGCUACAGAUAUGUUAGGAAGAUUAAAUGGGAUAACAUGCAGGGUGCCUAGCCUUCCUGGCAUAUAGUAAAUGCCUAUAAAAUAUAACAAGUGUCAUGUAUUAUUAUUAAAUUGUAUCUACCUGGUAGAAA
rnacentral:lncRNA from 1 species